rnacentral:rRNA from 1 species
UACGUAGGUGGCGAGCGUUGUCCGGAAUUAUUGGGCGUAAAGAGCGCGUAGGCGGAUACUUAAGUCUGUCGUAAAAAUGCGGGGCUCAACCCCGUAGUGUCGAUGGAAACUGGGUAUCUUGAGAGCAGGAGAGGAAAGUAGAAUUCCCAGUGUAGCGGUGAAAUGCGUAGAUAUUGGGAGGAAUACCAGUGGCGAAGGCGGCUUUCUGGACUGUUUCUGACGCUGAGGCGCGAAAGCCAGGGGAGCGAAC